rnacentral:lncRNA from 1 species
UACGUCAUGAGUAACUGAUGUUUGGUAGGCUGUGGGAUUAAUAACACAGUGUUCUCUUUGAGAGUCACAUUGUUUUGGUUGGGACUCAAGACUCGAAAACAGAAAGUGAUUCAGCCCUAAAGACACCACCGAAUUCUAUCAGAAAUUCAGAAAUGAUUAAGAUGUGGAGCCUUCCUAAGUGAAAGUCAGCAGACUAUCUUAGAAAAGUUCAUACAAGACA